UACGAAGGGGGCUAGCGUUGUUCGGAAUUACUGGGCGUAAAGCGCGUGUAGGCGGGUCUUUAAGUCAGGGGUGAAAUGCCAAGGCUCAACCUUGGAACUGCCUUUGAUACUGGAGAUCUUGAGUCCGGGAGAGGUGAGUGGAACUGUGAGUGUAGAGGUGAAAUUCGUAGAUAUUCGCAAGAACACCAGUGGCGAAGGCGGCUCACUGGCCCGGAACUGACGCUGAGACGCGAAAGCGUGGGGAGCAAACAGG
rnacentral:rRNA from 1 species